GUACUCGAGCGGCGAACGGGUGAGUAACACGUGAGCAACCUGCCCCAAGCUUUGGGAUAACCCUCGGAAACGGGGGCUAAUACCGAAUAUUACUGCUGGCCGCAUGGCUGGUGGUGGAAAGUUUUUCGGCUUGGGAUGGGCUCGCGGCCUAUCAGCUUGUUGGUGGGGUGAUGGCCUACCAAGGCGACGACGGGUAGCCGGCCUGAGAGGGCGACCGGCCACACUGGGACUGAGACACGGCCCAGACUCCUACGGGAGGCAGCAGUGGGGAAUAUUGCACAAUGGGCGGAAGCCUGAUGCAGCGACGCCGCGUGAGGGAUGACGGCCUUCGGGUUGUAAACCUCUUUCAGCAGGGACGAAGCGAGAGUGACGGUACCUGCAGAAGAAGCACCGGCCAACUACGUGCCAGCAGCCGCGGUAAGACGUAGGGUGCGAGCGUUGUCCGGAUUUAUUGGGCGUAAAGAGCUCGUAGGCGGCUUGUCGCGUCGACCGUGAAAACUUGGGGCUCAACCCCAAGCCUGCGGUCGAUACGGGCAGGCUAGAGUUCGGUAGGGGAGACUGGAAUUCCUGGUGUAGCGGUGAAAUGCGCAGAUAUCAGGAGGAACACCGGUGGCGAAGGCGGGUCUCUGGGCCGAUACUGACGCUGAGGAGCGAAAGCGUGGGGAGCGAACAGGAUUAGAUACCCUGGUAGUCCACGCUGUAAACGUUGGGCGCUAGGUGUG
rnacentral:rRNA from 1 species